GCUUGUGUGUGUGUAUGUGUGCAUGAGUGUGGGGUGUGUGGGGUUCCACUGCUCUGCUCGUGGCCGCCGCCAAGGAAGGACAGACGGACGGACGGCGCUUCCUCCCACUGGGAGCAGUUCCCGGGCACCUCGACUCGGCCCGGGCACAAGUGGAGCGCGCCUGGCUAGCCGCUGGCCUCCGGAAGGUUCCACUGCGUCCCCGUUGGGCUGGAUAUGUUCAUAUUCACGUGAAGAUGGAUUUAGUGUACGGUCUCGUGUGGCUGCUGACAGUCCUCCUGGAGGGGAUCUCUGGCCAAGGAGUGUACGCACCCCCGACAGUUCGGAUUGUGCACUCAGGAUUGGCCUGCAAUAUUGAAGAGGAACGCUACUCUGAAAGAGUCUACACUAUCCGGGAAGGAGAAACUCUAGAACUGACUUGUCUGGUUACAGGACAUCCACGCCCACAGAUCAGGUGGACCAAAACAGCAGGAAGUGCCUCUGACAGAUUCCAAGACUCAAGUGUCUUCAAUGAGACUUUGAGGAUCACAAACAUUCAAAGACACCAAGGUGGCCGCUACUACUGUAAAGCAGAGAAUGGCUUGGGGUCCCCAGCAAUAAAGUCGAUCCGAGUGGAUGUGUACUACUUGGAUGAUCCCGUAGUAACUGUUCAUCAAAGCAUAGGUGAAGCUAAAGAACAAUUUUACUAUGAGAGAACAGUGUUUCUCAGAUGCGUGGCCAAUUCCAACCCUCCUGUGCGCUACAGUUGGAGACGUGGCCAAGAAGUAUUGUUACAAGGAUCUGACAAAGGAGUGGAGAUAUAUGAGCCCUUCUUUACCCAGGGUGAAACCAAGAUCUUAAAGCUGAAAAAUCUUCGACCUCAGGACUAUGCUAACUACAGCUGCAUUGCUUCAGUGAGGAACGUGUGUAAUAUUCCAGACAAGAUGGUGUCAUUUAGACUUUCCAAUAAAACAGCUUCCCCAUCAAUUAAGCUUUUGGUGGAUGAUCCUAUAGUUGUGAAUCCUGGAGAGGCCAUAACUUUAGUGUGUGUGACAACAGGAGGAGAGCCUACACCCUCUCUCACCUGGGUCAGAUCCUUUGGGGCUCUGCCUGAAAAGAUUGUUUUGAAUGGAGGGACAUUGACCAUACCUGCUAUCACCUCAGAUGAUGCUGGUACUUACAGCUGCAUUGCCAAUAAUAAUGUGGGGAACCCUGCAAAAAAGUCCACCAACAUCAUUGUGAGAGCAUUAAAAAAAGGACGAUUUUGGAUCACUCCUGAUCCUUAUCACAAAGAUGACAACAUCCAGAUUGGGCGUGAGGUGAAAAUAUCUUGCCAAGUAGAAGCUGUCCCUUCUGAGGAGUUAACAUUUAGUUGGUUUAAAAAUGGUCGCCCACUAAGAAGUUCUGAGCGGAUGGUUAUUACACAGACUGACCCGGAUGUAUCCCCCGGAACAACAAACUUGGAUAUCAUUGAUUUAAAAUUCACAGACUUUGGAACUUACACAUGCGUGGCCUCUCUGAAGGGAGGAGGAAUAUCUGAUAUCAGUAUUGACGUUAAUAUUUCCAGCAGUACAGUUCCACCCAAUCUGACUGUUCCACAGGAAAAAUCACCUUUGGUCACCAGAGAAGGAGACACAAUAGAACUUCAGUGUCAAGUAACUGGGAAACCUAAACCCAUCAUCCUUUGGUCUAGAGCUGAUAAAGAAGUUGCAAUGCCUGAUGGGACAAUGCAAAUGGAGAGUUACGAUGGGACACUGAGGAUUGUGAAUGUGUCAAGAGAAAUGUCAGGCAUGUACCGGUGUCAAACCAGCCAAUACAAUGGAUUCAAUGUGAAGCCAAGAGAAGCUUUGGUCCAGCUCAUUGUGCAAUAUCCCCCAGCUGUGGAACCAGCAUUCUUGGAAAUUCGUCAAGGACAGGACAGAAGUGUGACCAUGAGCUGCAGGGUCUUGAGAGCUUAUCCAAUACGAGUGUUGACCUAUGAGUGGCGUCUGGGCAAUAAAUUAUUACGGACCGGUCAGUUUGACUCUCAGGAGUAUACAGAGUAUCCAGUAAAAAGUCUUUCCAAUGAAAACUACGGAGUUUAUAACUGCAGCAUCAUAAACGAAGCUGGAGCAGGGAGAUGCAGCUUUCUCGUUACAGGAAAGGCUUAUGCCCCAGAGUUCUACUAUGACACCUACAACCCUGUGUGGCAGAACAGACACCGAGUGUAUUCCUAUAGUCUUCAGUGGACACAGAUGAAUCCUGACGCAGUGGACCGGAUUGUUGCAUACCGGUUGGGUAUUCGGCAGGCUGGACAACAACGUUGGUGGGAACAGGAGAUUAAAAUAAAUGGGAAUAUUCAAAAGGGAGAACUAAUUACAUAUAACCUGACUGAACUAAUUAAACCAGAGGCCUAUGAAGUCCGACUAACUCCUCUUACUAAAUUUGGUGAAGGAGAUUCAACAAUUCGUGUAAUCAAAUAUACUGCACCUGUAAAUCCUCAUUUGAGAGAAUUUCACUGUGGAUUUGAAGAUGGUAACAUUUGUUUGUUCACUCAAGAUGACACUGAUAAUUUUGACUGGACAAAACAAAGUACUGCGACAAGAAAUACAAAAUACACUCCUAACACGGGGCCUAAUGCGGAUCGCAGUGGUUCCAAAGAAGGUUUUUAUAUGUACAUUGAAACAUCUAGACCCAGACUAGAAGGUGAAAAGGCUCGACUUCUCAGUCCUGUAUUCAGCAUAGCUCCAAAAAAUCCCUAUGGACCAACAAACACUGCAUAUUGUUUCAGUUUCUUCUACCACAUGUACGGGCAACAUAUAGGUGUCUUAAAUGUAUAUCUACGUUUGAAAGGGCAGACAACAAUAGAGAAUCCUCUGUGGUCUUCAAGUGGGAAUAAAGGACAACGAUGGAAUGAGGCUCAUGUUAAUAUAUAUCCAAUUACUUCAUUUCAGCUAAUUUUUGAAGGCAUUCGAGGUCCUGGGAUAGAAGGUGACAUCGCCAUUGAUGAUGUGUCAAUAGCUGAAGGAGAAUGUGCAAAACAAGACCUAACAACUAAGAAUUCCGUGGAUGGUGCUGUUGGGAUCUUAGUUCAUUUAUGGCUUUUUCCAGUCAUCAUCCUCAUCUCUAUCCUAAGUCCUCGAAGGUGACCUUAUCCUGGCAGAGGCUAUUCAUAAUUCACCAGGCACCGGCAUGAAGAAAGAGUCUUUGUAAAUGGACACAGAAAAAAAAAAACAAACUACCAAAGAUUCCUCCACUGACUACUGACUCAAAAAUUAAAUAAUAAAAACAACAUUUUUUAAGCACUGGGGAUAAAAAGAUAUCAUGGAAAUAUAACUUAUUCCAAACUACAUAUAGAAGAUAAUCUUGGCCUGGGUACGGAAGAGACCUUCAGGUGCUUUUGUGGCUAAAAUGAUUUCAGCUUCAUCUGGUUGAACUCUGGAAAAAGAAAAGAAAGAAAAUGAAGAAAAAAAGAGCUAUAGAAAUCCUCGUCAAAGCACAAAGUCAUGGCUGGUUUUGUUUCAAAUGAAUAGUUUGCUUGUUACCAUGGAAACCUAAUGGCCUGCCAACAAAAACCUCACUGUAAACAGGGACAGUAAACCUGGGCUUACAUAUUACACAGGCUUAUCGGAGUUUGCUUGCGGCCACUUGAACACCCAAACUACGUCAUCUGUUCCUAUGAAGAAACCAAACCACCAUCUUUUAUAAAUUGCCAUGGAAACCAAGUGCCUUCAAUGAAACAAGCCUGAAUAAUUUUCAACUCAGAAGCUUGCACUGCUAACAAUGGCUUGUGUAAAACUAUUUUCUAAACAGAAGACACAGCCUACAUG